rnacentral:rRNA from 1 species
GGACUACCAGGGUUUCUAAUCCCGUUCGCUCCCCUGGCUUUCGCACCUGAGCGUCAGAAGCGAGCCAGAACAUUGCCUUCGCCAUUGGUGUUCUUCCAGAUAUCUACGCAUUUCACUACUACACCUGGAGUUCCAUGUUCCUCUCUCGCUCUCAAGUCUACCAGUUUUCAAAGUCCUUUCCCGGUUAAGCCGGAAACUGUCACCCCGAACUUGGCAGACCGCCUGCGUGCGCUUUACGCCCAGUAAUUCCGGAUAACGCUCGCCUCCUACGUAUUACCGCGGCUGCUGGCAC